AUAGGUGGGUCUCUCUCAACUACAUAUCCUCACUCUCUCUAGUGUGCUCUUUCCCUUAAAAAAACUCCAGAUUGCUUCUUCUCCCAUGUACGUCAAUUUCUUCACUUCAUUCCAUCGGCGUCCUCAUUUACUCACCGCUGAGGGUUUCUUAAAGGAUCAAAUUGUUUUGAUUUUGUUUAAGUUCAAACUUCAAAGAAUGGCAAGAGAGAAGUUUCCGUUAAGAUGGUUUCUUUCCCUUUAUAGUGGUGAAAUACCUGUCUUCUCUUAUUUGGUCUGCAGGUUGUAGUGCUAAACUUCUCUCAUCUUACUUGUCUAUGAUUCAUAAUGUUGUUAUCACCUCCUUGAUAUUUUCCCCCUUCAGUUCUGAUUUGAUAAUACCGUUCUAUGAAAUAGAGCAAGGAAAAUCCAUUGGGAGUUCAUGCAUUGAAGUGGUGCUAAAGGACUCGGCUUUGUCAUAUUGCUGACAAGAAGAUAAGCAGCACUUAUGGUCAUAUUGGGUCAGGAGAGAGGACUCGGCUUUGUCAUAUACUAUUAAUUAUUUUUUAACCUGCUAGGGGAUGAGCAUUCCCUUCUUUAUUUUACGUUACGUACAGCUAAAAGGAUGGUCAUUUACGCCUCUGACUGAAACUGAAAAUCGAAAUUUGAAAUCAACCAUAUUGUUUCAUUCACAUUCAA